rnacentral:lncRNA from 1 species
AUCUCCUACAUAUAUUUUAGAUCAGAUCUAAACUAUCUUUUUAGAAUCUAUGAUACAAAAUUUGCGUACAAAAAUCUGAUAUAAAGAAAAAACUACAUCGAUUACAUUGAUGCCCUAGAUCAGAUCUAACAAUUAGAUCUAAUCGGAUGAGUUCAAAACUCAUUACCUUUGUAUGGGUCGAUGAUCGUCACUAUUGAUAGGCAUGGUAUGAGGUUCUUUCUGAUGUCGAGCAGCCACAUAGCUCGUCUAGCCUCUAUAGGUCAUCCACUCAAAGCCCUAAUC